AUACAAUGGAGAGUUUGAUCCUGGCUCAGGAUGAACGCUAGCGGGAGGCCUAACACAUGCAAGCCGAGCGGUAGAGUCUCUUCGGAG
rnacentral:rRNA from 1 species